UACGUAGGGUGCAAGCGUUGUCCGGAAUUAUUGGGCGUAAAGAGCUCGUAGGCGGUUCGUCGCGUCGGCUGUGAAAACCCGGAGCUCAACUCCGGGCCUGCAGUCGAUACGGGCGGACUGGAGUGUUGCAGGGGAGACUGGAAUUCCUGGUGUAGCGGUGAAAUGCGCAGAUAUCAGGAGGAACACCGGUGGCGAAGGCGGGUCUCUGGGCAACUACUGACGCUGAGGAGCGAAAGCGUGGGGAGCGAACAGG
rnacentral:rRNA from 1 species